GGCAUGGCAGGGGGACCCCGGGCGCUGCAUCUGCGCACGUGGCGAGACCCGGCUGUCGCCGUCGCCGAGUUGCUCGCCAGGUCCCUGCCCCGGUCCGCGUCCGCCUCCACCUUCACCUUCACCUCCACCUCCACCUCCACCAUCCAAUGGGCGGGCCCCGCUUGCUGCUCUGCUUCGACGCCGUUACUCUCCCGGCGCAAUUCGCCGCUACAAAUCGUGGUGGCGUGGCGGUGUGGGACGGCGUGACGGGAUUCGUUACGGGGUCCCAACCUUUCCCCCAUGUCUCCGUCCCGUUCAUUGAUUCACCUCUCCUCUUCUCCGUCGUCUAAUCCAAAAUUCGCUGUUAAUUCUUUUAAAAAAUUUUAGUUUUUCGUCGAUAUAUUCAUCGUCUCCUCGAUUUCCACUCUCUCGUGGGCCACCACUCGGUAGCGAUCGAGCACCGGGAAGACAGAGAACGCCGCGAGGGCGACGAAAUCAUACCGGUAAUUCCAUCCGUCGCUCGAUGAAAUGCCGAGCAGAAGAUUACGCCGCUCCCUUCCUUCAUCCUCUCGCUCCAGUCAUUAUCAGAAGCUUUACUUUGCCCAAGUUCAAAGAAGAUGAGACAGAUGAACUGAUUGAUCAAACAGGAGUCUGCUGCUCAUACAACAGUCAAUACAUGCAUAUCUGACUUGAAAGCUCAAUUAUGGUCUGGUUCAUUCAGUACCAGUCUAACUCGGGCCGAACCGGUUUGGGCGUAGUGCUGCUCAUUGCCCUCCACACUCAUUCUGCCUGUUCUUCUCCUCGUUCUUCUAGCCAGUGGCCAUGGAGGGAGAUCCAGAUGUGGCGAACACGAAGGAAGGCGUCGAGGCGGACAUAUCCGCACUAUGUGAGCGCGUGUGGGUGACUUCUAGGAGCGAGCCGACUGGGAUAACCCUGAUCCUUCCUCUUUUACUUAUUUUCCAUAUGUUCGCUAUUGUGUUGCCUUGUGUUACGGAAAUAUCGCAGAAAUAUCUGUUUUUAAUUUUUUAUUUUUUAGUGUGCAGAAUGUGUUUGGUUGCCCUCGAUGCGUUGGGUUGGUAUUGAGUUUGCCUCCCUCACACAUGAAUUCAAGUUUCUUCUAAGUUUUCAGUUGAAGAAGAUGAUUUAAGAUGUUGUGAUUUAAAUUCAUGUUGCAUGUGCAUUAGAAAGAAGAUGGCUUAUUAGGAAGCAUGUGCAUUCAUUCUUAGAAUAUUUAGGCUAAGUUGAAGAAGAAAUGCAACAUGAGUAAGUCAGUAGUGUUUCAUCUAACUGUUAAGUAUAUUUGACCAUGGUCUACAACUUGGAAAUAGUCCAUGUAACUGUAUCAUUCAUGGACGUUAACUCUUCAAAUUUCUUUUACUCCUGUGAUAUUAACUUUGUUUUGUCUUCCAGCACAUUGACACUUGAAGGUGUUCCAAGAGCGCUAGAGAAGUACUUGGGGAUGAACACAUUUUUCAUCGGAUGUUCAUAAAAGGUUGUUUGGAGGAGGAGGUUAGAAGCUGCCAUGACUGGUGACUUUCUGCAGCAGCUUCAUCAAGAACAUUAGCACCAAUGUAACUCCUUUCACUAAUUAGCUUAAGAAAGGAGAGAUCCACUGGACUAAUUUUUUCCUCUUUAGCAUUUCAAGAAUAAAGAAAAAAAUGACUAAUGUCCCCAUCCAAACAUCCCAACCUCUCUAAAACAUUCUAAAUAGCCUGUGAUGCGUUUGGAAUAAGAAUUGGAGGUUCCUUGAGCCAAGAAGGCAAUGAAACUUGACUACGCUACUAUACGUGUGAUAAAAAGUUUUAUUCUAUGAUCCUAUCUAGAACAUUCCGUGUCUUAAGUGCCAUGAUUCAUGUGAUUCACAUAUCUGUGUAAUAUAUUUAUUUUUUUGUUUCUUACACAGGUCUUUAGGUUUACUAUCAAAGAGUUCAAUUCCACAUAGUUCUUAGUCUUGAGUUCUUUAUGCAAUUUGGUGCUUUUAACGCGCAAUUUGGUGAAUUCUGAUCUUCACUCUUUUCUCAAUUAAGACGAAGAAGAUGAUGAAGAAGAAAGUGACUGAGGUGCUGUACUCUGCUUGAGCACGCUUGAAGCCCUUCUGUAAUAUGUAACCAAACACAUCAUCUUGUCCAUUCAUUAUGUUUGUUGAUUUCUGAAUUGUUAGCAAACUGGAGUGCUCUCGUCAUGAGGACAGUAAGCGUAUCUUAUUCUGUUAAACAUUACCAGCCAUAGAACAUUUACAUAUUAUCUUCAGAAAAUUCUAAGAUUUAUUUCUUUUAAUUAAAA